GUUUAUGGGGAGCAGCUGCCCUGAACUCCAGGGUUACCCAAAAAGGAUUUCAGAUGCAGUGGCCCUGGCUCAGGCUACCAGACCAUCUUGGGAAGCCCUGCCACCUCUGUGGCUUUCUGGCCUCCAUCCUGGCUUGGCCUCAGCCCUCCCAGCCCACACCACAGCAGCCAGGAGUCUUCUCACUGAUCCGCCGAGCUCAUGACUGAGAGGAAAUAUGUUUCCAGAUAAGAUGAAAAUAGAUCCUUCUCCAAAUAUGCUCAUCAUAGCUAAGAAAAAUAAAUAGAACCAAGAGGGAAAAGAGAACAGGGAGCAACCAUCAGAGGAGGCCUGGCCUGGGGAGCUGGGAGGGGUGAUCUGCCCAAGGAUCGGGGUGGAGCUUGUGCUGCAGAAUAGGCUGCCUCCUCCUUCGUGGAGUCCUGUCUAAGAUUGCAGUGGAUUUAAGGAACCUCAUCAACUGAUUGUCACUAAAGUACUACUGACUGAUAACUUGUGUCAUGUGGGAGAAGCCAGAACAUCACGGGGCCUGUCCAGGGGAGUCUGAGGCCACAGAGGAGAUGCAGUCACAGCUGGAAAUACUGCCUAAGGUAUCUCUCUUCUCACCUCCCUCCAUUUUCCCCUACAGGCCAAACUAGGCCACGUGGCAUGGGAAUGCAGCCUGAAGAGGCUGGGCUCCUCUGCCAUGGGCAAAGAUCAGAGCAGGGGAAGGAUGAAGAAGGAUUUGAGGCAAACAGGCCCAGGACGGGCACAUUCCCCUUCUGUGUACUGUGGCAGGGGAUUGGACCAAAUGGUCUUUGAGGACUCCGGUUCUCUGAUAGUCUACAGAUCUAGGACUCUUAGGGCAAGGACACAAUUUCCCUGGGUUCUGUCCCAAUUCUGAUCUCAUGUGGCCUUCUGAUAUCUCCUCUCUCUGGCCUUAGUGUGCCUGUCUGUUCAGUGGAGGAGUUGACCAGCCUGGUCCAACAUGGCCAUGGACGAAGACCCAGGAAAGAAGAAUGGACCAGUUUCUAGAAAAGUUUCUAGAAAGACUCCAAAAGAGGUACAGACCGUAAGAGACUGCUGGUCUCCCUCCACGGGAGCUGAGGCCACACCCUCCCAAAGCUUCUGCAGACUCUCAGCUCUCAACCCAAGUAGGUUAAAAUGCACCUACUUCCUGCAUUAUAACACUUUGGAAUCACUUUAUAUGAGUUAAGAUGUGCUACAGUUGACAGGUUGUCCUAAUAUUACAUUUUGCAGAUGUUUAAUUAAACAUGCAGGAAUUUCAAGCCUCCCGUGACUGAACUCAGCUCAGGCCUUGUUCUGUGUGAUCUCAAUCUAUUCUUCAAAAUCGUAUUAUUAUUAACCCCAUUUUACCAGGGAUAAAACAGGACGCAAGAUCUCCAACACCUAGUUGAAGGCCACACAGCCAGGGGCCUGGUGGGAUAGCACUGGCUGCUCUGCCUCUGCCCUGGUCAGCCUCUCUAGUGCCUCCCUGCCAACCCUCCAGUUCCUGGCUCUUCCCUGGGCUGCCUAGGCCAGGGGCUUGAGGCCUGUGAGGCUCAAGUCUCUCUAGGAGAGUGAAUAGUCUGACCUGAUGGACCAGAGCCGUCCUCCUGGCCCAGUUAGGAGCAUGGUGCCAGCACCCCAGCACCCCUCCCAGGGGUGAGCUGCAGGGCACAUAGUUUACCUGCCAGGAGCCCGGAGUAGGAAAGCAAACACCAUAAAUCAUCAGGAUGCCUGUGUAAAUAUUUUAUAGCUGGGACAGUAAAUAAUGCAGCUCCCUGGACACGCCCUGCCCAGUUCAUCUGUCUCACAUCCAGCACCCAGGACAGUCUGUCUGGUCCUCUCUCUUACCUUGUGUUUUUAAAACAAAUGCUGUGGCCCAGUGCUGAGCGCUUUCACACGCGCAUCUUCACUGACUAGCCUUUGCUCAGGCCUGGAACAACUUUCUCCCUCCUCCUUCAGGAGUCACCUCCUCCUGGAAGCUUUCUUUGAUUUACUGAGUGGAGUCAAGGGUUCCUCUGGCUCUCAGUCCCUAGGCUUCCCCAUCUGGGCUCUGCUCACUCUGCACGGUCAUUUCUUGGCUCCUGUUAUGAUUCCUGGUGACUAGUGUGCCCUCACUCUGACUGUCAGCUCCAAGAGAGCAAUCAUAUCCCUAGAGCUGAGGGCAGAGGUUGGUGUAUGCAGGUGCUCAACAAAUAAUGUUGAAGGAUGGAAUAAAUUACCUUGCUUAAUCC
ensembl:lncRNA